GGUGUAUGAUCCUCUUGAUGUAUUUUUGAAUUCUGUUUGCUAAUAUUUUGUUGAGUAUUUUUGCGUCUAUGUUUAUCAGCCUUUCCCUUUCCUUUUAUCCAAACUUUUCAGGACAUCAAAAGGGUGCUUACCAGCACAUUGUUAAUUUUUUGCCAACAUGUCUUCCUAGAACUCUUCUAAAUUAAUUCACUUCAUAUUUUUAUUGGUCUGGUUGAAGUGCAGGUAUAAUCUAAGAAUUUGGUGUUAAGAGAAACCUAUUUCCACCUUUCUAGGGAGACUAGGAAAUUACUCAGUCUGAAAAUUGCUUUUAAUUAUAUAACACUUAAACCUUGAAUAAGUAUGAUUAAUAUUGCCAUAGGGGAUCCUUAAAAUAUGUUUUCAAGACUAAUAUCAUCUUUGUCGACAAUCAAAAUUAGGUGGAGUCCAUCUAAAAUAAGCUAACUUAUCUCUGACCCUAGGUCUUUGUUUUCCAGCCCAGAAAAUGUCAAGGAUGCACUCAAGGGCAGCAUUAUAAACCAUGUUAGUAACAGCUGGGAAAUUAUUGUCUUGAGUUUUACAGUGUCUUCUAUAGUGAAGAUCUAAUGUUAAAAUUCUCUUGUGUUUUGGAGAAACAGCUUGCCACAGAGUGGAUUUGACAACCCGAUUGACAUGUCCUUUCUUGAGAAAUGUCUCAUCAAGAUGUGAAAAGAGUUUGCCAUCAAUAUGAAAAGCCACAUAUUCUACAGGAACAGUAGAGUAGUUUGUGUCUCGCAGCUGGGAUGGCCACAUCCAACCUGGAGGACAUGAUAUGCUCCCCAAUGGAUCUUACUACAUGGCCUGUGACAGCUGCAGACUGGAGGUUUCCAUCCUCCCUCAUUACUUCCGUGUUCGUGGCCUAACUGGCUUCCCGUGCACCCGUGCUCUUGGCCCUAACUCCACCUCCCCCCCCUAACCCAAAACCUGCCUAAAGACCCUAGUGACAGAUGAGAUCAUCAAUUCCCAUUGGUUUCUGUUACUUCCUUAUCUUCCCCUAUAUAACU